GCGCGUGCAGCACCGGGCCGGCGGCCGGGCGGGGCGUGUGCGGGCGGGGCCUCGGGUCCGAGCCCUCCCUGGGCCGAGUAAGGGCCUUCUCGGGCAACCGGAACGCGCGGUGCGGCUAACGGAGCCGCGCGGGUGGCUCCCUCGCGCCCGUCCAGCCCCGAGUCUUGUUUUUUUUUCCUGUUGCACAAAAACUGAAGAACUUCAGGGCGGGGAGGCUGGUUACUGCCGCUGUUACGAGGCACCAGAGCAACAGCUCCAAAGGCUGCCGAGAGUAACAGCGUGAGGCCAACAGGAGGGAUCAUGGAGCCAGGUCUUAACAGAGGUCGAGGGUUAAUGCCAUCGGCAAUAUGCACAGGAGAGGGACGAGGGUCCAUACACUGUCUCAGUAAAAAGACAUCAUGGCCCUAUCAAUGAUGCUUCCCAAAUGAGAUCAAGUUCUCCUGUUUGUUUUGUUUUGGAGCCCUUUUCUGCACCACUGUGAGCUCUCAGUGUCCUUCUCAAAAUGCUGGUACCAACAUGGAACCCAACAUUCCCAUACGAGUCCAUUCUGUGCCCCAAGCCAAGGGUGGUUUACCAUUAGCCCAAGUUUGGGACAACAUGCAGUUCACCAUCUUUGUUCACCACAUCCCCUGAGAAUAUAGCUUGUAUCCCAAAGGAAAAACUGCUUGUCGGAUCAUUUUUUGAAGUCCAAGUAAUUGCCCUUCAGGAGGAAUCAACUGCCAUCUUUCUGUCCUUUGACAAUCAAGGUUAAAUCAGUAUUAACCCCCAGAGCGUUAUUUUAAGCACUACAAAGUACAGAGGAAAAUACCUCAUCAAAAUGGGUUAAGUCGUAUUCCUGUUCCUAGUGGUGAAAAAGGAUUCACUUUUGCCCACAUCAAAGCAUCAUUCAGUGAAAUAGCAGAUUUUCCGUCUUCAAGGAAGAACACUGGACCCUGUACAGCAAAAAAGUUUGGGGAGGGAAAGAAAAAGAAGUACACGUAACGUGUAAAGCUACUGCAACAGGACGCACAUUUUGUUCUGAGAAGAACGUGAAAACCUGACAACUAUCAUCUGUGUUUGUGCAAGACUUGUACCCCACCGACUUCAAGCUUUGAUAACAGUUAUACAUUAUAAAUUAGUUGAACUUGCCAUGUUCCAAGAUCUGGAGACCCAACAUUUAGUAACCCUUAAAUUUUUAGUUUCAUUUUUAGUAAUGGUGGUGUUUUGUGUAUGUUUGUCAAUUAGUCUAGAAUUAAAUUUAACCUGAAUUAGAAACUGA